CCUACGGGUGGCAGCAGUGGGGAAUAUUGGGCAAUGGAGGCAACUCUGACCCAGCAACGCCGCGUGAAUGAUGAAGGUCUUCGGAUUGUAAAGUUCUUUUCUAAGGGAAGAAGAAAGUGACGGUACCUUAGUAAUAAGCCUCGGCUAACUACGUGCCAGCAGCCGCGGUAAUACGUAGGGGGCAAGCGUUAUCCGGAAUCACUGGGUGUAAAGGGAGCGUAGACGGCUGUGCAAGCCUGAAGUGAAAGGCGGGGGCACAACCCCUGGACUGCUUUGGGAACUGUACGGCUGGAGUGCAGGAGAGGUAAGUGGAAUUCCUAGUGUAGCGGUGAAAUGCGUAGAUAUUAGGAGGAACACCAGUGGCGAAGGCGGCUUACUGGACUGUAACUGACGUUGAGGCUCGAAAGCGUGGGGAGCAAACAGGAUUAGAUACCCCGGUAGUC
rnacentral:rRNA from 1 species